CUUUAAAAAAAAGGAAAAGUAAGUUAUCGUGGAUUUUUUUUUAUGUAGGCCUAAUACGUUCUUCUACUUUCCCAAUAUUAAAGCAAUAGAUUACUAGAAACAUAUGUCAUUAAAGUUAACGUGAAUCAGAAAUCAUAAUGCUUUUUCCUUCCGUACUGGGACAUGGGUCUAUGUCAGGAAGAGUGUAGUAUCGUAGCAAUUCUCCCCUCUUACCGCUAGGUGGUGUUGUAUAUGGCUAGUUAGAUUUCAGAACUGACCGGGUGUGGGCAGGAGAAAAAAAAGUUGAAAAUGGCGAGUCCACAGUGCUGGAUCCUGUAAAGGAAACGAAGUUAAUAAACAGCCAGUACGUUCAUCCUUGUACCGAGUAAUUAUUAUGUCAAGUUAAUACAGAGAGUCUCUGAGCUUGAUGAUAGGUGAGGUGGUGGGAAGGGAGUCAUUACUGGUUAGUAGUAUUUUAUCCCCCCUGCUUGUACACGGUCAGAAGACUUACUAAAAGUCACCACAUUCUGAUGAAAGAAUACGGGAAAACAAAAAGCAUUAGCUACAUAGCUUUUUAUUGCUAAGGCACUGGAGCAGCUCUUUGGCUGAGUGAAGUGGUUUGCAGCAGUGUUAAAAUGUUUUAUGCUGUUAUUGUGCUCAGGAAAUGAAUGCAUUCAGUGUUUAAAAAUUAUGAUUUUGCUCAAAUGCUCCAUAUUAAUACAUUCAUUUUGCCCUCUAGCAUUUGACAAACCCGGUAGACAAUACAAAGUGGCAGUUCUCUCUACAAAUUCUCUGCUUUAGCUGCAUUUACAUUCAUCAUGUGGACUCUCUCAUACAUUCGCUCACGAGGUUUUAUUUACGGGUAUAACUGUAAUUAUGCGCUACGGUAGAACAUUUUGAUAAGGUAGCACAGCUCGUCGGAGCAACGGCACAGCCCGCAUUAGUUUCGUGUAGCUUAGUGACAUCAAAUUGAUGCGCAGUAGCUUUAGCUCGCAUGUAGCAAUAUUAGUAUUAUAGCUCUUUAACGACCUCGUAAUUCGCAGGAUCCAGUGGUAUUCGGGAGAAAAAUGUACACAGAACGAAACGUUUAGGGUUCUGAACAUUUUUAUUUAACACGGGGGGCGAUGGAGGCGAUUUUUGGAAAACCCUAUUCGUUCUGGUUAUAGAGAAAUGGGGCAUAGACCCGGAGUUCCUAAUAUGGGCAUAACGAAGACUACCGAAUGACGCACGACUACAGUGUUCUAUGCUGACAGGCUUCUUAAGCGCUCUCUACUACAGCUGUUUUGUGAGGUGGGAUAGAGCAAAAAUCUGGGCUGUCUGAAAGUGCCUGAGGACUGGAUUAGAAGCGCCGAGCUUGUUGUUGAGGUCUUUUCCAUUUUAAGCUGGUAUUCUCUCUCAUUUUCUGUUGCUAUAGUUCAGUCAGUGAAGCUCGGAGUUCUGAGAGACAGAUCCGACAUCACUGAGCGAACAGUGGAGGAGCUGAGGAAAACAACGAAGUGAGAAAGGUGGCAUUCUCAGCCUCUCUUCUGGCUACUGGAGAGGGACACGUUGGACCCAUCAGUACUGAAACCAUACUAAUCUUUGGAAAGAUCCUCUCCAAUGUCGGCAAUGCUUACAAUCCAUAUAGAGGGAUCUUUACUGCCCCAGUUAGAGGCAUCUGCGAGUUCAAACUCUUUGUCUACAAUCAUGCUACUUCCUCAGUCUCCUCAGGAGCAUCCUUGCAUAAGAAUGGAGGAACAUCUGGUGACCGCAUACGCCCACAACGAUGACAGUCAACAUGUCAGCAGCUCCAACAGUGUUAAUGAAGAAAUGAACCUUUUUUAGCCAACUGUGUCUGAACACAUCGGAAUUAGACCUCUGUGUUUAACCCAUCCGUGCAAUGA